rnacentral:sRNA from 1 species
AAGAAGAAGAAAAAAU